rnacentral:rRNA from 1 species
AUAAAAAACCAACGCCCUUCGGGGCUCCUUGGUGAAUCAUAAUAACUUAACGAAUCGCAUGGCCUUGCGCCGGCGAUGGUUCAUUCAAAUUUCUGCCCUAUCAACUUUCGAUGGUAGGAUAGUGGCCUACCAUGGUGGCAACGGGUAACGGGGAAUUAGGGUUCGAUUCCGGAGAGGGAGCCUGAGAAACGGCUACCACAUCCAAGGAAGGCAGCAGGCGCGCAAAUUACCCAAUCCCGAUACGGGGAGGUAGUGACAAUAAAUACUGAUACAGGGCUCUUUUGGGUCUUGUAAUUGGAAUGAGUACAAUCUAAAUCCCUUAACGAGGAACAAUUGGAGGGCAAGUCUGGUGCCAGCAGCCGCGGUAAUUCCAGCUCCAAUAGCGUAUAUUAAAGUUGUUGCAGUUAAAAAGCUCGUAGUUGAACCUUGGGCCUGGCUGGCCGGUCCGCCUCACCGCGAGUACUGGUCCGGCUGGGCCUUUCCUUCUGGGGAACCCCAUGGCCUUCACUGGCCGUGGCGGGGAACCAGGACUUUUACUGUGAAAAAAUUAGAGUGUUCAAAGCAGGCCUUUGCUCGAAUACAUUAGCAUGGAAUAAUAGAAUAGGACGUGCGGGUCUAUUUUGUUGGUUUCUAGGACCGCCG